rnacentral:tRNA from 1 species
UUUUGGAUAGCUUAGUGGUAAAGCGAAGGACUGAAAAUCCUUCGAUAAUGGUUCGAUUCCAUUUCCAGACA